GCGGACCGUGUCUUGUUGUGUUUACAAAACCAGGAAUGCUUUCUCUCUCCACCCGUUUCAUCGUCUUAUCGCAACAACAUUUUUACCGUUGCACAGACAGAAGAAGAAAACAACAACCGGGAAUGUCACGACAAACAGGUUAAACAUAGAAAAGCAAGUCAAACAAACGUACCGCCGCUGGAUGGACAUCAAAAUACUCUUUUCGUUGGGGAAGACGACUAGAAUUUCCAUGCAACCCUCCAGGAAGUCGACGGGUGUGUCUUCCGUCACCUGGAACUGCUGGUGAGAAGAAGACGACAUAAUUGGUGAAGAGGUCAUCGGCGGCGGGGCCGGCACCAUCUUCAUUUCGUGUUUGUCUUAUUCUGUUUUCUUCCUUUGUCGUUUCUUCUCUUUUUUUACUUCAGAAGGGCGUGUCACGCUGCGGCGCUGCUAUUGGAUAGACCUACGCGGCUAUCCCAUUGAGGACC